rnacentral:rRNA from 1 species
UACGUAGGGUCCGAGCGUUGUCCGGAAUUAUUGGGCGUAAAGGGCUCGUAGGCGGUCUGUUGCGUCGGGAGUGAAAACUUACAGCUUAACUGUGAGCGUGCUUCCGAUACGGGCAGACUUGAGGUAUUCAGGGGAGAACGGAAUUCCAGGUGUAGCGGUGAAAUGCGUAGAUAUCUGGAGGAACACCGGUGGCGAAGGCGGCAUCCUGGACCAACACUGACACUGAGGAGCGAAAGCCAGGGGAGCAAACGGGG